UACGGGGGGGGCAAGCGUUGUUCGGAAUUACUGGGCGUAAAGGCUCGUAGGCGGCCAACUAAGUCGGACGUGAAAUCCCCAGGCUCAACCUGGGAACUGCGUCUGAUACUGGAUGGCUUGAAUUCGGGAGAGGGAUGCAGAAUUCCAGGGUGUAGCGGUGAAAUUCGUAGAUAUUAGCUAGAACACCAGUGGCGAAGGCGGCCAACUGGUCCGACGACUGACGCUGAGGUGCGAAAGCGUGGGGA
rnacentral:rRNA from 1 species